GCACCUGGCCUAUUUUUCUGUUCAGUUUCACACAUCCCAGUUAACUUUAAUUUUCUUUUUCUUCUAUUUUGUUCUCGUUCUCUCUCUCUCUCUCUCUCUCUCUCUCUCUCGCUCCCACCCAUCCUCUAUCCCUUUUCUUCUCGAUCUGAAGCAAGAAGCAGAAACAACUCGAUUUUCAACCUCGGUCUUUUCCAUUCACUUUAUCGUUUCAAUCUAUCGUCUCUUUCUUCCUGAACAUGCUACGACAAGGCUGAUCCCCAUAUCAAGUCAACGUUCUUUUGCAACAAGAAGAAGAAGAGGCUGAGUUGCUCUCUAUCGAAAUUUCACAGGUCAUUCAAGUGCUCAUCCAUGAAUCUUAGGAUGUUGAAAAAUGGAAUUAGAUGCCCAACUGCAACAGUUGACACCAAAGCAGAGGAGACCAUGAUGAAGGAAAAGAUGUGGUAUGUGAUAUCUCAAAAUGAGCCAUCACUUCUUCCAAUACCCUUGGCUUCAAAAUUGCUGACUAAGGACUGCAUGGCAUGUGUUGAUCUUCUUGAAGUCAUGCUGGUGGAACAUUUGCGGAGGUUACUAUUAAUACACGUAAAGUUAUGUUUGAAAUAUAGGUGUUUAUCAUCAUGUGAUGAGUAGUUUUUACCUAAACGAAUUUAAGACUUUGCAUUUCUAUCAUUUCAGAAGUAGAAGAAAGAAGAGAGGAGCAGAAGGAGCAGACAUAUUACAUCAGUGGUGGCAGAAGUAGAAGAAAGAAAAGAGGGGCAACAGGAGCAAGCAUUAGUAGUGGGCGAAGUGGGCAAGCAAUCAUAAAUAGUCCAAUAAUCACUGUAUCUGUUUCUAGCACACUUAUGUUUUUGUCUCUGAUGCAAUGUAAGACAAUAAAUUGUCACUGAUUCAUGACUUUGUGGAACAAUGACUAAUACGAAUGUAUAUAUCUUGGUGGAUCCAAUGUAUUUUGAAGUUUAAAGUAUGGGUUAAAGUACUGCUAGUUCAUUUGA